rnacentral:sRNA from 1 species
UUAUAUCGAAGCUGGAAUGUCAUGCCUCCAUUGCAGAGGACGACAGGAACGUUUCUGCAAACACCCACUUUGAGGAGUGGUGGUUUAAAACUUUCUUACUUGCAUACGGCAAGAUGUAGCGAAAGC